GAAAAGAAAAAACUUUUGAGGGAAAAUGAACGAAACGUUUCAGCAAUCGGAAACUCACGUGGCGGUGUCUUGUUGGUUCAUCUACAUGGACAGUUAGAAGGCGAUUUGUUCCUCGGUAAUUUUGAUCAAGCAUUUGAUCAAAGUUUGAAGAAUUUACUUCCUGGUGACGGAUGCCUCUUCACUGACGCAUAUGUGAGAGAAUGGCUUCAUAUAAAGGAUGAUUAUAGGAGUUUUUUGACUUCGUAGCGUUGACUAUAUCUAACUCUGUAAGUGUAUCCACAGUUGAAUAUAAUACCAAAGUGUCUUCUGAUCACCAAGUAGAAAGACCAACAGCUUCAAAUCUUUUACACAUACUGACAAAAACACCAAAAAAGCAUCGUGACUGCUCCAGUGAUUAAUGGAAUUCCAACCGACCUGCAAGGAUUGCAUGAAAACAGAAGUACACAGCUGAAGGUUUUCUAUGGAAGUCAAUUCGAGAAUAAACCUGAAGAACUGGCUAACUACAUAUGGAAGCAUUUGCGCUUUCAAGAGUAUAUGAGCUGCAUGUCGAAAAUUGAGGGUGGAGGCUCAUAUUACGUUGGCAUACAGGAAGAAAACGUCACUGGUUCAUCUUCAAAACUCCCAGUUAUAAAAGGAAUUAAUUUGAAGGUUAGCCAAGACAGUCUUGAGAAGAGUUUAUUAGACAAAUUAAGCACCGUGAUCAUUCUGGGAAUUGUCGGUUCUGUCGGUGCUGCACAAGAUCUCAUAGAAGUACGUUUUCAUGAUGUUUGAAACUCGGAAAUAGUUUUAGAAAUCGCAGUUCGGUUUGUUGCUGGAGUUGUCGUUUAUGACUGUGGACCAGAAGCUGAUGAGACUGUUGACGGUGGGAAAAAAGGAAUUACUAAAAUGCGGUUUGAUAGGUGGUUGGAGAAAUUCAAAAGCGUUUGAGUAUCAUAAACACACAAUUUAUGUUAUGAACAUACCUAAGUGAAAACGUCAUGGCAUCUGAAAGAAGUUCGAGUGUCAGCUCAACAUACCUCUCAUAUUCAUCAGCUGGAAAUAUUGUUUGGUCAUUAACUGAUUUAGAUGAUUCAUUCUCCUCUGGAAAAACAACGCCCAAUGACGAUAAAGGUGAAGAAAAAUAUUAUAAAGUGUUUCAGAUAAGCGAGAAAGCAGACUUCCUUCGUGAUGUGAACAGAGAUGAAUCAUAUGACACAUUGAUAGAGGAUAUCUUAUCAAAAGUAGCAGGUAAUGGGUUGGUUAUAUACCCCCCAUCUCAUAAAUACUCUGACGCAGCUGUGAGCCAUGUGAGAAAAAUACUCAUAUGUCCAGAUACAUUUUGGGAACGUGCAUUUGUGUAUACUCAAAGUGUUUACUGGUUACACUUAACGAAGACACAGAAACUGAGAAAGCAAAGGUGCCCCGGUGUUUAGAUCGAGAUGUAUGCAUUUUCACAGAGAACUAUCCUCCAAUCGUAUUUAGUCUCA